rnacentral:rRNA from 1 species
UAACGGCCUACCAAGGCGCCGAUCGGUAGCUGGUGUGAGAGGAUGAUCAGCCACACUGGGAGUGAGACGCGGCGCAGACUACUACGGGAGGCAGCAGUGGGGAAUAUUGGACAAUGGGCGAAAGCAUCAUCCAGCAAUGCCGCGUGUGUGAAGAAGGUGUUCGGAUUGUAAAGCACUUUCGACGGGGACGAUGAUGACGGUACCCGUAGAAGAAGCCCCGGCUAACUUCGUGCCAGCAGCCGCGGUAAUACGAAGGGGGCGAGCGUUGCUCGGAUUGACUAAGCGUAAAGGGCGGGUAGGCGGCUUGUACAGUCAGACGUGAAAUAUCAUUGGCUCCCAUGGGGGGUGCGUUUUAUACGUGCGGGCUUGAGUUCGGAAGAGGGUCGAGGAAUUCCCAGUGUAGAGGUGAAAUU